rnacentral:rRNA from 1 species
UAGGGAGCAAGCGUUAUCCGGAUUUAUUGGGUGUAAAGGGUGCGUAGACGGGAAAUUAAGUUAGUUGUGAAAUCCCUCGGCUCAACUGAGGAACUGCAACUAAAACUGGUUUUCUUGAGUGCAGGAGAGGUAAGUGGAAUUCCUAGUGUAGCGGUGAAAUGCGUAGAUAUUAGGAGGAACACCAGUGGCGAAGGCGACUUACUGGACUGUAACUGACGUUGAGGCACGAAAGUGUGGGGAGCAAA